GGCAGGAACGAGAGAUGAGGGGGUCGGGAAGGAGAGAAAUAUAGAGCAAGAAAGAGAGGUCAUGAGCCCAUGGGCCCCUGAGUUCUUCAAAAAUUAAAUUUUGAAUUAAAGUUAUAAACUUGGAUUUUGUCACAAGGAUUUAUACAGGAUACUAACCUCCACAUCAAAACCUUCAAUCCAAAUCGAAAUUCCAUACGUAAAACCUUGAUUUUGGACAAAAUUAACUGAAUGGAUUAUUACUAAAAAAGACUAUCAAGAAAAAAACUUCCAACAAACCAAAAUCUGCAGAAGAAACACAGUGGAACCUGGAAAUACCAUCCAACACAAAACUGAGUUUCCCCCGGAGCACUUUAGGAAGAAACUCGACGUCAGGAAAACCAACGCUCCCGGGAGAGAUGGUGACAUUUACAAGGUUGAUUGGAGGUUUUGUCACGCCUGCUUUGACAGACUGGCCAGAGCUCAGGUCUCAACAGUUUGGCAAUUAUCCUCUAACACACACACACACACACACACACACACACACACA